CUUGGAACCUGGACUUUCUGGGUAUUUUUCUUUUCUCAAGAUACUACAACAAAAGCUGCAGAUUUUGAUGAUUAUGAUGAGGGGGUGGCUUGGCUUUGAAUGCUCAAUCAAGAGCAUUGCUUAUGCAGAAACUGGAUCGCUCUUGUAUUGCAACAAGGUACUCGCCUUGGAGUAUUUACAUUCUUUGCACAUGG